AAAAAACAAAAGUGUGGAAAACAGAGGCAGUCCCAGCCAAACCCUAGGGCUCUUGGGGAGCCUCUCGUCUUCCUUUAAAAGCUUGUUUUAAGUUUGGAGUCUCCCCUUCACCCAUAAAUUAGAGUUGAGUGUAUCUUCCUAGGUUACGUGUCACCCUGUCACAUGCGAAUGACAAGUUCUCAGAAUCAGACAAGCGUGUUGAGCAAGUGUGAGGAAGAAACUUUGCCCGUUGUGAACUUUGGAUGAAGAAACCCUAGCGUUUCUGUGGCUGCUGAGGGAAAGGGAACCUGGCUUUGGCCGAAGCGGGACGCAGGAGCCCCGUUCAAGGUAGGCCGAUUUCACAGACGGCUUUCCAGACAGGGCCCAGGAACCUGAGGAGUCUUGCUAAGUGGGUCUCUCAGCUGAGUACGCGUUGAUGAGAUUCCACGCUCAGAGAGUAUCCUAUGAAGCCUGAGAGAAAUAAACACCACACAGAAGGUUCCCAAGGUGCAGGAAAUGAAUGUUCAGAAGCGCAGACCUGACUAGAGACAGACCCCCAGAGACUGCAUAAUGAGAGAGUUGGAGACAGGACGUCACGAGAGAAAUUGGGGGGCUUUAGUUGCAUCAGGGUGGAAAGUUCUGGUCACCCUGUCUGGCCUACCGUCAGCGUCUCCAAAGAGCUCCAUUGGAUCAUGGCUUCACAGAGAAAGAGGACAUGUGUACAGCUGUUUCACAUUCAUGUUCUACCUCCGGUGAGUCGUUUAAAAGUUUGGAUACCUGGCUCUUUUUUUUUUUUUUUUUUUUUCCUGUUUAUGGAGAGCAGUUAAAUCCUCAUCACCAGGCAAGUGUCUUUCAAAAGGAUUUCUCACAGCAGGUAACUGGGAGGUAGUGAGGGAAGAUGUUGCGUUUUGGAGUCAAACAGACUUGGGACCAUCAUGUGGAAGCGAGCUGUUGCCUAUUUUAAGCACUUCAUUUUCUGGAUUGGAAAAAACUUCAGGGUUUUUGCUUUAAAAACAUUCAAAGUGGGGUAGCAAAAUAUUGACCCAAAAGGCCAGAAGAAGAGACCUUAUUUAGGACUUACUCGGAAUUACAGUUUUACUCUUCUUGGAGGAAAGUGACCCAAAACAUUUUUACUGGAGGUGACAAAAUUUCCUGAGUAAGAAAUGUACUGACUUCUAGAUGAUGUUUAUUCCCGAGUAAGAAAUGCACUAACUUCUAGAUGUUUAUUCCCUACCAGGUUUGCACAUCAUAAAAUCUGACCUGGGCCACUUGGUGAAGGGUGGCUCUUGGGGAAGAGGAAUUCAUUCGUUCCAUCCUCAAGAGGAUAUUUGUUAUCUAGAACGAACACUAAUGCAAAGUGUGUCACCUCAGAGAUCUGAUCUAGGUUUGGCUUCUAUUUCGCUCGUUUAUAACGUAUCAGAACUAGGUGGCUCAGCACUAUGAUUGGGAAGUUUGGAAACAUUUUUUUCUUUUUGGGAACUGAUGGAUUUGAAAGUCAGGACUUGGGCGUUGGUUGGAGUUAGCUCAGGGUUUCUAGAAUUCUGUUUCCUGGCUUUCAUCAACAAGUUGUGCCUUGAGUCAUCUUGUCACUGGGGGGGACUGGUUGCACCAAUGUCAAAAGAUGUUAGAAGGAGUGAGUGUCACAUCCUGGGAUGAAGUCAUUUGGGCUGGUGACCUUCUCAGAAGGGUCAGUAGGAAUGAAACAGUGGGAAAGAAAGUCACGUCAAGGAUGUCUUGAGCAAGGGAGUGGAGUCGAGUCAGUAAACACCAAUGGAAAGCAUAGGCUGUAAGGGUGCAAGCCACCUUCUCCAUUGCCCUGGGCUUGCUGCUCUUGUGGGUGAACUUCGGCAUCAAUCAAGCAACUAACUGACAUUGAACAAGUUUCCGAAGGUACCCAGCGGGAACCCUGUCAAGACCCACAUCCGGCAGUUAAUUUCCUACCAACCUUAAUUACAAGUGUUAGUUAGUAUAAAAUGUAUGGAAAAGAGACAUAAGACAUGCUUUGGGGUCUACAGCUGUCUUAUUUCUAUUUUAGAGAAUAAUUACAUGAGUGCUCACCAUCUAAAAUGGACUUUGGAAGGUUCUGUACCAAAGCCCAGGAUUGAGCUUUCUGCUUUCUGUGAGGGAAAGCUUGGAGACUUGUGUUCUAAGUAGUUCUUCCUUUUAACUGAGCUCAGAGACAGUGGCUCACAGGGCAAUGGCCGAGCAUUAAAUCUAGUCUCUUCUAAAAACCAUUUAAAGCGGUAGUAACGGGACAUACGAGGGGCCACAGUGAGGCCCGUCCCGGUUUUGAGGGGACAUAGGAACUGGUGAUCUAUGGAGGAGAAAAAUAGGGCACUGAAAGCAAACAAGACUCCAGACUCCUUCCUCAUAUUCCUGGCUGUGUCUGUCAUAGAUCUGCUGGCACGUUUUGUUUUGGGGACAAAGGACAGCACUGUUUAAUCCUUCUGUCCAUGCCAAACUCCAAAGGGGAUAAUUACAUUCUGCCUCCUGAAAUUCCCUUUGCAAUUUCAUCUGGGUGAAGCACUCUCAAUUGCCUGGGGUGUUGCUGACCCUGGGAAACAGCCGCCAUGUUUUAUCCCCAGCUAGGUAUUUCAGUCAUGGCCAAGGUGAAUAGUGCACAGUUUGAUUUUGGCUCCAGUGUAUAAAUUAGACCGGGUUCUUUUGCAGUAAAAUGCACUGAGCAGGGUGGCCAAUGUCAGCUCACUGGAGCAUUAUGUGUCUGUCCCCUGUGCAAAACUGCUUUAAUUGUGCUUAAAGAGUACAGUCGAUUGGCUAAUCUUGUUUUUAAGAAAAUAAAUUAUUCCGGAGCAUUUUUUUUUUUUUUUGACUGGUAAAUGCAGUGCCAGAUAAUGUUUUUGUGUUCAGGUGAAAAAUCCAGUUCGGUUAUGUUAUUUGGGCCCCACUAGAAUCAUUAAAACCAGUUGGAUUUCUAUAUGUAAGACCCAAAGUAAUUCAGUUUGGUUUUCUGACAAGUAAUUAUUUUUUCUAAAUAGCACUGAUAGUAAUGUCAUUGUAAAUGGGAUAAAAAGGUUAUUAGGGAAAGAUUAUAUAUGCUUGUUUAAAUUCCUAGAUCGGAUCUUUGUAAUGUCAGGAAAAUCAUCCAAGUUUGUUAGAAUGAAAUCCAGGUGAAAUGUUCUAUUAUUUCUCUGAAGUUUUGGAGAAACAGAUACUAAGAUGAUAAUUUCAAUUCCCCGCGGGAAUGAAGAAAACCUGGACAAGAUGUUGGUUUUAAUAAUGGUAUUUCAAGCUGUUCCUAAGCUUAAUUGUGGUAUGGGGUAACACUGUAGUCAUGGAGUGGUGUAUUUAAAACCCACCAAGAGGUUUCAGCCUGAGAGCGGAACCAACGAAAGGGAAUCAUUAACCACAGAAGUGACUGAAGUGGUUUAAUAAUUAUGUUAUUUCAAGGGGGAAAAAAAAAAAGAUCUGCCUCAAGUAUAAAGGGGAAAAGAAGGCCUGAUAAAUAGAACUUAUUUCUACCCUAGGUAGUCAGCUAGUGAGACUACCAGUGGGAAAGGUCUAUUAACUAAUUGAUCUGCUAGACUCGAUAGGGAACUCCAGCUGGAGAUCAAAGAACAUUCUCUGCUACAAAGGCAAGCGGCAACCUUGGACCAGAUGUUUUCCUUCCAGCUCUGUCAUGCUUGAUAACUGUAGAGUGUGGCUGAAUCUGGCCAUAGGCCUCGUCCAUCCGACCACUGAUAUGGAAAGCAAGGGGAUGUGUGUGCACGCACACGCGUGAAAAAGAGGCAAGAGAGCUUCGAAGUCAAAAAGGUUCCGAAUUUAAGAUUAGGUUGGGAGCUAAGCAAUUUUUUUCCCAACUUAUUUGCAAAGUGAAGCGGACCAAAGAAUGCCACUGUCAACUUUUAAAAAGGUUCCUAUAUCUUAAUUGUCCUAUAAUUGCUCUUUAUAAUAGCUUAUACUAAUGUAUUAUAGUACAUGUCUGUUACAAUAAAACCAAGUAUGUUUUGAAUAAUGGCUGAAAUUACAAAGAUUCAACUAUUAGUGUUAGCUUAUGUGCUUUCUUUUAUGUUUAGAGUAAAAGUGAGAGUUAAUAAUUGAAGUGUUUUUUCUUUUGGCCAUUACCCCGGAACUGUUUGUUUACAUGUGUUGCCCACCUUUAUCCUUUCCAGCUCUAUAUGUUCUGCUUCUGUUUUUUUCACAUCUGGAGAAGGUAUUAUUUAUGAUCAGGCAGGAUAUUUGGCUUAGAAGUUUCUUUGAAAUGUAUGUAUGUAUAAUUCUUUUCAAUGCAUUUUUCAAAGAUUCCUACAGUAUUAGAUGGUUUGAAAAAUGAGAUGUCUAAAAUUACCUUGAUGUGGUUAGCUUGGUAUGGUCUAUGGCCUUUCUUAAAAUACUACCUUGCUUCCCUAGUUGAUCAAAAAUAUCACCAAAAAGUCAUUAGUUCACCUGAGUGGGAGACGUAUUGGGGUUUAGGAAUGCUCGUAUUGAGAAUUCACUGAUCUCAGGCGAUCGAAUUCCCCAUAAAAGGAAGAUUUCCAUAGAAUGUUUGCAUGUCUGUACUUUCAAGGUGCCUAAAAUUCUAAAGUAGUAGCUUCAUUUUUUUUUAAGCCAAAGGCUUUUGUUUCUCUUAAAAUUCAACUUCUAAGCUUCUCCAUUCUCUUCGUGUGUGUGCAUAUAAAAAAAUAUUUAUUGAAUGAUAUAUUUAUCAUACAAUUUCCUGAAAAUCUAAUUUGAUGGGGUGAAGGAGGGAAAGGUAAAGACUCCUCCCCCAAAGACACAUUCUAUAUACUUUAAACUUUGCCGAGUGUCCAGUUCAAGAUGGCACACUGAUGGCAUAUCAACCUUCACCCUUUCUCAAGGUCCCGUUGAAACUAUUAAAUGUCCAAUGUGCGUCCAUGUAAAAAUCUAUCUAAUGAAAGCACAGCAAUGCUGGGCAUCAAUAAAGGAACCACAGAGGGUGAAUACAAGCUAGUUGUUAGAGAGCAGAUGGACUUAUAUGAAAAGCAAACAAAAAUAAAAGCAGAGAAGGGGAUUCCAGAGAUAAGGGACCACUGGAGAAGCUCCAAGCUUGGGGUUGUCAAACAUAAAGGAUAAGAGUGGGUGGCAGAUUAUACUUAUUGGAGUGUUGAUUUAAAGUUCUGAAUUCAGAUCCUUGAGAUCCCUUUCUUCAACUACAGCUGGUCUUCUCUCUCUACUCUUCAAUGUCAAAACAGACAUGGGCAAACUGUAUCACCUGGAUAGAACCAAAGAACUUUUAAAGACUGAAGAGUAAGGCAACGUGGAUCCUGAGCCUAAAGAAAAGAGCUGGAGGUAACCCCAGGCUUCCAUAGCAAAUGCUGAGAUCCAGUCUACUCUAUGGAGUCAUCAGAGGGGAUGAGCUGGACAAGAAUUUUCCUCAUCUUUUCCUCUCAAGGCAUAAAGGCUGAGACAGAUCUCGUUUGCAGCCAGAAAGGGAGCAAUGUGUGGGGAAACUUGGCUUGGAUCUUGGAUCUUGAAGAGGGCAACUAUUCAUCACUUGGGCUGUGGUUACAGAAGACUUUUCCUGAGGGUCGACAAGGGGACAGUGAACUCUAAAAUCUAAGUCAGCAAGAGUCAAGAUUUGAAACACUCCGACCCUUUUCUAUUUUGAAUUUUCGGAGAUGAUUUUCUUCCUCUGGCGAAGCCCUUUGGGAAUACUGUUCAAAGAGGCAGCUCAGUUAGGGCAGAACCCAAACUCUGGGGUGUGCUCUUUGGCAGGGGGAGUUGACUAGGGAUUGUGACUAACCCUUAGCGGCUUCAACUAGGAAUCGAGAGCCCGCCCCAAGAAAACAGUUCUAGGACUUUCUACGAGGACAUGGAGGCCACUGGGUGCAGGCAUCACUCGGCUCACUUGUGGUUUCUGCUGCUCAAUGCUUCUCUAGUUCAAGGAAGGGGCUUCGUGCGGUGAUGGCGAUGGGCUGAAACUUUGAGGUGACUUUUUUUGAGCAUCUCACCGAUAGGUCCCAAAGAUGCUUCUUUAUGAUUGAAGUAAAAACAAGACAGAACCAAG